rnacentral:rRNA from 1 species
UACGUAGGUGGCAAGCGUUGUCCGGAAUUAUUGGGCGUAAAGCGCGCGCAGGCGGCCCUUUAAGUCCGUCGGUCAAAUGCCGGGGCUCAACCCCGUUGCAUGCCGAGGAUACUGGAGGGCUGGAGACACGUAGAGGCAGGCGGAAUUCCGGGUGUAGCGGUGGAAUGCGUAGAGAUCCGGAAGAACACCGGUGGCGAAGGCGGCCUGCUGGGCAGUAGCUGACACUGAGGCGCGACAGCGUGGGGAGCAAACAGG